rnacentral:lncRNA from 1 species
GAACUCUCUCUCCAGGCAAGGCCAGUAGUCAACAUCCACAUGCCAAAGGAUAGAGUCACUGGUCAGCACCAAGGCUAUGGCUUUGUGGAAUUCUUAGGUGAGGAAGAUGCUGACUCAGCCAUAAACAUCAUGAACAUGAUCAAACUCUAUGGGAAGCCAAUACAAGUGAAGAAGGCAUCAGCUCACAGCAAAAACUUGGAUGUGGGGGCCAACAUUUUCAUUGGGAACCUGGACCCAGAGAUCCAUGACAAGUUGCUUUAUGAUACUUUAAGUGCCUAUGGGUUCAUCUUGCAAACUCCCAAGGUUAUGUGGGACCCUGACACAGGCAACUCCGAAGGUCAUGCCUUUAUUAGUUCAGUUUCAUUCGACGCUUUGGAUCCAGCGACUGAGCCAUGAAUGGGCAGUACCUCUAUAACCUCCCCAUCACUGUGGGAGGACACAGAAGGACUCCAAGGGCGAGUGCCAUGGCUCAGCAGCUGAACGACUUGUGGCAGCACAGAACCACUCUCCCAGGCUGACGACCCUCAUCAGCUGUUUGCCGAUGCACCAUCUCCACCCUCUGCGUCCAAUCCUGUGGUAUCAUCUUUGAGGUCUGGGCUUCCUCCUCCAUGCAUGCCUCCUUCUGGCUCUGUCCCACCCCCAGUACUGCCUCCUGGAGCCCUUCCACUCAGGAUAUCCGCAGUCAUGCCCCCCCACCUAUGCCUCCUGGGGCUGGAGGACAUGGUCCCCCAUCAGCGGGAACCCCAGGGGCUGGACAUCCUGGACACGGACACUCACAUCCUCACCCAUUCCCACUGGGUGGGAUGCUCCAUCUAGAGAUGUCUCAGAUGCAGCUGGUCCACCAUAGCCCUCACGGCUUGGGACAGCCCCAUGCUGGGCCCCCUGGCUCUGGAGGGCAGCCAUCACCCCAACCACCACCUGGGAUGCGUCACCCUCAUGCCCCACCCCCACCAGGGGCCUCUGUUUGGCUCUACUGUGGGUCUCCCAGUCCUAUGCCUCCGCAUGGUAUGCAUGGACCUCCUCUACUGAUGCCCCCUAACGGAUGGAUACACUGGCCCUCCAUGACCUCCACCCUAUGGCUACCAGUGGGGGCCGUUCCCUCCACCCAGACCCACUUCCUGGUCUCCAGUUCCCCCUCGAGGCCCACUUCGAGGCCUUCUCCCUCGGUGA